rnacentral:siRNA from 1 species
CCAAGGAUCGAUGAGUUGUUGGA